GGGGGUGACAGGUUUCGACACGAUAUGUCUGAGGGGAGAAGCAGGCCGAGGUCUCCUCACCUCGAUAAACAGGGGUAAACCGUCGACAAGCGUCGACAAUGAUUACGCACUCGCUGCCUAAAUAGCGCAGCGACGCCGACCCGGUUGAUGCGUCCCCGUCACCGGCAAGGCGUCAUUUCAGGGGACUGCAGUAACGUACGUGGGCGGUAUGACGUUGCCAAAGAUGGAACCGCCAUGGCGUAGACGUAGCGGGUCACCGUGCAGCGUCGUCGCCGAGAUCUAAUCGGUGACUGAGCCUGGAGAUGCUCCCCAGGGGUGUGUCGUGGACGCGAGUUCGACUCUCGCCACCUCCACCA
rnacentral:tmRNA from 1 species